UGCCAGCAAGUAAGCCCGGGAACACAUUUGCAUUAACACCGCUUGGCCACCUCCCCCUGUUCCUGCCUCCCGCGCUGCAUACAACAUCGGUCUUCGUCCCAGAAUGUCAUCUUGAGGCUGCUUUUCAGAACCAGUGUUUCAGCGAAACAUGAGCAUUCCAGGUAUUGAACUCAGACCCUUGGGCUUCCACAUCAAGCACUUUUACGAUCUGAGCUUGUUUCCUACUCCCAUGUGACUUUGGAUAGAGGAUCCACGACAGUCUAUCUAAUCCAGCAAAAAGUUUUCUGCUGAGUCAUGUUGAAACAUGACAUCCACAUAGGGAAAGAACUCACCUCAGUCUGCCAUCACACCAUCCACAGCAAACAGUCAAGGGGAGUGGACAUGCUAGCUGAGAAGGCGUGUGAACGGCUGCUGGCGUCAGCAUUCUCUUCCUCACGUGGCAACAAAACCAUCAAGAGUCUUGUGAGACAGGACCUUCGGGCUUUAAUUAAUGAAUUAUUUUUAAUCUAUUUCCUUUGCAACGGACUCAUUUAGACUCUUCGGGAUCAUUUUUGAAAAAAUAAAAUGGUUCUCUAAAUAGAAAUCAGAAAAAAAUCUGGACUCAUGAACUUCUCGCACCAUGGCUCUGAAGCAUGAAGGCUCCAACCCCAGGGGUCACUCUGAGUUACUUGUUUUUGGAAAACAUGCUUCUUCCUUCACUUAUUCACUCAAUAAACAUGCAUUAUGCCAGCUAUCUGCCAAGUUCUGGAGCAGACCUGAGAUAUGAAAAUGAUUAGCAAGUAAUCCCAACCUUGAAGGAAUUCAGUUAGGAGAAACAGACGGACAAACCAUUCUUACGCUGCAGACAGGUCGGGAGGACUUGAAGCCCAUCCCUGGGUCUCUGGCUGCAUGAACAAGGAAAUGGGCGCUAAGACCACAAGUUGAGGGGAGAGCACUUCACAAAGCCGUUUAUUGAGACCACAUUUCAGCCGGUUUGAGAUUUUUUUAUGAGAAACACCCCCCCCGCCCCUGCUCCCCCCGAAAUAACCGGAAGACUGGCCAGCCUGAAGCAUGAACGGUGGCCUCCAGAGGACAGCAUACAUCCGCAGAGGCUAAAACUCUGAACCUAGAAACAGCAGCUCUUGAGAACAGGCCCCUCAGGGAGGUGUAGAAACAGCACUAGCAAAAGGCACAGAGGAAGCGUGGUCUGAAGAGGCGUGGAUAGAAGAACAGGACCAGAGAAGAGGGGCCCUGGGCGAUACCGCUGCCAUGGAUACCCUGUAGCCGUAGCUCCAAACCCUUCUUCCCCUGGCUGCAUCAUUGAACAUACAGGCCAAAGAAACUUAAAUACUAAGUUAAAUACUUCAAGGCAAAGUCAGCCCACGGGGAAUUCAUCUCCUUUCUUGAUUGUCACACUGAUGGAAUUUCUAUUUAAAAAAAAAAAAAAAAAAAUGUCGUGUAACAAGACGCUGAGGGUGGAUCUCGGGAUGUGACGCGCAGGAUCAGCAGCAUAUGCUCCUACUCCCCACCCCCACCUCAGGCCCCACUGCCAUGGAGCAUUUGCAUGUUUCCAUUAGUGGUCAGAGGGAUCCAUUUGCGUGGGCUUUGCACCUGGUAUCCCUAAAUAUGAAAGGCAAAAGGACUAUUUCAAGAUGAUUUCUGCCCAAGUACCUGAUUACUUAAAUAAAAACGCAUUUAUUGCCGCUGCAACCCGGCGGCCUUGAGAAA